UUACACCUUGGAGUAUAUAUUUCCAUCCCCGCGAGCCCUCCUCAUUCAUUCCCGCCAGACCUGACCUCAGAGUGAAGUUGUACAGUGAUCUACGUGUCCAGGAAUUCUCUGAAGCUACACCAUGAAGCUGUUUGUCUGCAUGAUGCUGGUGACGAUGGUUGUCAUGGCAACGCUGAUCGACGACUCGGAGGGAUGGAGGCGUCGGCGCAGGCGCAGAAGGGGCCGUCUGGAUAUCGAUGCAGAUGCUGACUCCGAGUUGAGGGAGGUUGUGGAAGAGGCGAGGUCGCUCCUGGAGGAACUUGAUGAGACCAGUGAACACUUGGAUACACGGGAACUACAGAACGAGGAAGUGGAGAACAUACUCGCGGAUCAGGAAGGAGGUCAACGGAGAAGGACUUACGAGUAAAGUUGAAAUUGGUUUAGAAUCAAAGGACGAUUGGUCGUCGAUUUUAUUUUCUUUGGUUGAAAAUUUUUUUGUCUCGUCUUAUUCCAAUCACACAACAUGCAAUGUUCUUCAACCUGAAAAAUGUCAAUUUGAGCUCGGAAAAAAUUGUGUCUAAACAUGGAUUCAAUCUGUUGGCUAAAAAGAUCAUCCACUUGUUAGAUAUGUAUUAAAGCCAAUCAUUAUGUUAUGCAUGUUCGACAUUUUGUGCACUUGACUCUUGUUGAUUGAAUAAAAGUUAUUAAAAGCAAA